GCAGAUAAACAUAUAAUCUUAAUGGGGCAUGAUAAUAUCACUCAUAUAGAGAAGCUCACGGCGGAUGGUUCCAUUGCUGACAGGAAAUGUUGCCAGGAACCUGGCUGCGAUGAGAUUGUCAGUGGAAGGGUAAUGUACUGCAGUAGUCACACUAGAGGGCAUUCAUCCCAACAGCUUGGUUACCUCCAGAGUUCACAGAAAACCUCAGAUUUAUACAUGCCCCCUGUUAAAGGCAGACAGUGUACUGAACCCAGUGCCAGUGCAGAGCAAGACAUAAAUAUCAAGUAUGAGGGGAAUGAUCAAGGCAAACUCAAUGAUAGAUCUGGGAAUACUCAGGGAAACACUGGGCAACUAAUCUUGGGUGGCCCUGACACGCUUUGCAAGCACGACAACUGCAAAAAGCAGGCCCAGAGUAACGCAUUGUACUGCAAGCUACAUAGUGGUGGUAGUAAGGGUUGCCUGGUACGGGACUGUGUGAAAGCUGCACAUGGCGGCACGCCUCUAUGCAUCGGCCACGGAGGAGGGAAGCGUUGCGUUGUUGCUGGAUGUCCAAACGCUGCAUGUGGCCAGGGCCGCAGUGAGCACUGUGUGAGGCAUGGUGGUGGCAAGAGAUGCAAGUUUGAAGGGUGCGUGAAGGGUGCGCAAGGGAACACAGACUUCUGCAUCAGGCAUGGUGGGGGAAGGCGGUGCAAGUCCGAAGGAUGCACAAAGAGCGCACAAGGACGCACGGAUUUCUGCAUCAAGCAUGGCGGCGGCACCCGGUGCCAGUUCCAAGGAUGCAACUCCAGCGCAAAAUGGGGGACGGACCACUGCUCCGUGCAUCGGAAGAGUUUGCUGGGCGAGACGCCUGAAGCCUUGCCGCUUCCUUCUGCCAAGCGUCGCGGAGCCAAGAAACCCAAAAAGGAAGUAAAGCCGCCGCCUCUGGCCUCCCAGCUGACUGUCACCACUGCUGGGAGCAGCGCACCGCAAGCAAAGGGUAUUCUUCACAUGCCUUCAAACCGUGAACUGUCGCACAAGAUCGUGAUGGCGGCCGGGCAAGCCGCCAUGGCUCCUGCCCAGGUGUUACCGCUGUCCAUGAAACCUCCAGCACCGUCGCCGUCGGGGGCGGAGAAGGAAGCGGCGGCGGCGAGCAGCACGACGCUGAAUCUUUAG
rnacentral:rRNA from 1 species